rnacentral:rRNA from 1 species
CCUACGGGUGGCAGCAGUGAGGAAUAUUGGUCAAUGGGCGCGAGCCUGAACCAGCCAAGUCGCGUGAGGGAGGACGGCCCUACGGGUUGUAAACCUCUUUUGCCGGGGAGCAACGUGCGUCACGUGUGCCUCCACUGAGAGUACCCGGAGAAAAAGCUUCGGUUAAUCCCGUGCCAGCAGCCGCGGUAAUACGGAGGAUGCGAGCGUUAUCCGGUUUUAUUGGGUUAAAGGGGUGCGUAGGCGGAUCGUUAAGUCAGUGGUAAAAUUGAGGGGCUCAACCCCUUCCGGCCAUUGAACCUGGCGCUCUUGAGAGGAAGAGAAGUAUGCGGAAUGCGUGGUGUAGCGGUGAAAUGCAUAGAUAUCACGCAGAACCCCGAUUGCGAAGGCAGCAUGCCGGCUUCCGACUGACGCUGAAGCACGAAAGCGUGGGGAUCGAACAGGAUUAGAUACCCUUGUAGUC